rnacentral:rRNA from 1 species
AUUGAACGCUGGCGGAAUGCUUUACACAUGCAAGUCGAACGGCAGCACGGACUCCGGUCUGGUGGCGAGAGGCGAACGGGUGAGUAAUGUAUCGGAACGUGCCCAGUCGUGGGGGAUAACGUAGUGAAAAUUACGCUAAUACCGCAUACGAUCUAUGGAUGAAAGCGGGGGAGCGCAAGACCCCGCGCGAUUGGAGCGGCCGAUAUCAGAUUAGGUAGUUGGUGGGGUAAAGGCCCACCAAGCCAACGAUCUGUAGCUGGUCUGAGAGGACGACCAGCCACACUGGAACUGAGACACGGUCCAGACUCCUACGGGAGGCAGCAGGGGGGAAUUUUGGACAAUGGGCGAAAGCCUGAUCCAGCCAUUCCGCGUGCAGGAUGAAGGCCCGCGGGUUGUAAACUGCUUUUGUACAGAACGAAAAGGUUUCUACUAAUACUAGGAGCUCAUGACGGUACUGUAAGAAUAAGCACCGGCUAACUACGUGCCAGCAGCCGCCGUAA